GGCCAGUGGUGGUUUAACGGUUAGAGCUUUGGACUGCUAGGACCUGGGAGAGACCAGGGUUCAAAUCCCCACUUGGCCA